rnacentral:RNase_P_RNA from 2 species
GCAGACCGAAGGCUGCGAUGCUCGUCCCGUACAGAACUGUCUUCAGUCUCGCGAGCGGGCCAAGGUCUGAGCAAACUACCCUCCUAUCACCGACUUUUGCUAGGUCCAGUCGUAAUGGCUGAGCGACGUACCAGAAACCCGACCUGCCACCUGCUCACUAGUCUUUCUGGUGACGCCCCAAGAGCUCUGCGGAGUGAGGGCGACAGGAUGUACGGUCUUGGAACGCGUCGUGGGUACUGGGCUGUACGUUUCCCCCUGCUUCGUGGCGUCCUUCCACUUGCUAUCGGCGCACGGAUGGCCGCCAUGCCGGCCGUGGACGCGUUUGACUUCGUGCAGAACGUCGCGAUAUAUUGGCCAGCGAAUGCGCCAUAUAGGCAACAAGUACCCGUUGCUCGGCGCGUCUCCAACCUCCGCGUCCGCAUGCUUUCAUGCGCGACGGGAUGCAUUGCGGGAACGCGGGCAGCUGCAUUGGGGCACAUUGCCCAUGGGGUGAUGUGCCCCGUAGGCCUCCUGGUCGCACACGCCGCCGAUAUCUGUCGGUGACAUCGUUCAUCGCCUUGUCCCGAUUGAUAUUCUACGCAUAUUGUGCUGCAGCAUCUGCUAGUACGCCUGGUUUCGGCCUCCAAAUUGGACGUGCAUACCAGAGACCAGGAAGUACCAGUGCAAAGCGUACGAGGCAAGCAUGGUCGGGCGUAUGCCACUCUCGGGGGUUCGUACAGCCCUUGAGUGCAAUUCGCAGCUCGCGAUCGUGAUGUCGCGCAACUCGAUUCAGACUAUUCUUGGUCUGC